rnacentral:rRNA from 1 species
AGAGUUUGAUCCUGGCUCAGAACGAACGCUCGCGGCGUGGAUUAGGCAUGCAAGUCGAACGAGAAAGUUUCCUUCGGGAGACGAGUAGAGUGGCGAAGGGGUGAGUAAUGCAUAAAUGACCUACCCACAUGACCAGGAUAACUACUCGAAAGGGUAGCUAAUACUGGAUGUGAUCCUUGAUUUGAGAGCGCUGGAUUAAAGGUGGCCUCUGUUUCAAGCUGCCGCAUGGCGAGGGGUCUAUGUACUAUUAGCUUGUUGGUGGGGUAAUGGCCCACCAAGGCUAUGAUGGUUAGCCGGCCUGAGAGGGUGUCCGGCCACACUGGGACUGAGACACUGCCCAGACUCCUACGGGAGGCUGCAGUCGAGAAUCUUCCACCAAUGUGCGAAAGCAUGAUGGAGCGACGCCGCGUGAAGGAUGAAGGCCUUCGGGUCGUAAACUUCUGUCACAAGGUUCUAAACUCGCAGAGUUAAUACCUCUUGCGCCUGAAGACCCUUGAGAGGAAGCACCGGCUAAAUCCGUGCCAGCAGCCGCGGUAAUACGAAUGGUGCAAGCGUUGUUCGGAAUCACUGGGCAUAAAGAGCACGUAGGCGGUGGCGUAUGUCAGGUGUGAAAUCCCUCGGCUCAACCGAGGAACUGCAUCUGAAACUGCGCCGCUAGAGUGCGGGAGGGGAGAGUGGAAUUCCAGGUGGAGCGGUGAAAUGCGUAGAUAUCUGGAGGAACGCCGGAGGCGAAAGCGACUCUCUGGUCCGCAACUGACGCUGAGGUGCGAAAGCUAGGGGAGCGAACAGGAUUAGAUACCCUGGUAGUCCAAGCUGUAAACGAUGACCACUAAGUAGUGGGACUCCAAAGGUCUCGCUGCCGGAGCUAAUGUAUUAAGUGGUCCGCCUGGGGAGUAUGGUCGCAAGGCUGAAACUCAAAGGAAUUGACGGGGGCUCACACAAGCGGUGGAGCAUGUUGUUUAAUUCGAUGCAACGCGAAGAACCUUACCUGGGCUUGACAUGUAUGUGGUAUCAAACCGAAAGGGGCGAGACCUACUUUGUAGGAGCAUACACAGGUAUUGCACGGCUGUCGUCAGCUCGUGUCGUGAGAUGUUGGGUUAAGUCCCGUAACGAGCGCAACCCCUAUUGUUAGUUGCUAACAGGUAAUGCUGAGGACUCUAGCGAGACUGCCGGUGUUAAACCGGAGGAAGGCGGGGACGACGUCAAGUCAUCAUGGUCCUUACGCCCAGGGCUACAAACGUGCUACAAUGGCAGGUACAAAGGGAAGCAAGAUCGUGAGAUGGAGCAAACCCCAAAAAGCCUGCCCCAGUUCGGAUUGGAGGCUGAAACUCGCCUCCAUGAAGUUGGAAUCGCUAGUAAUCGCAGAUCAGCCAUGCUGCGGUGAAUGUGUUCCUGAGCCUUGUACACACCGCCCGUCAAGCCACCCAAAUUGGCCGCACCCGAAGUCGCCGACCCAACCUGCAAAGGAGGGAGGCGCCGAAGGUGAGGUUUGUGAGGGGGACUAAGUCGUAACAAGGUA